rnacentral:rRNA from 1 species
CCUACGGGAGGCAGCAGUGGGGAAUUUUGGACAAUGGACGCAAGUCUGAUCCAGCCAUGCCGCGUGCGGGAAGAAGGCCUUCGGGUUGUAAACCGCUUUUGUCAGGGAAGAAACGGGUUUCUCUAAUACAGAGACCUAAUGACGGUACCUGAAGAAUAAGCACCGGCUAACUACGUGCCAGCAGCCGCGGUAAUACGUAGGGUGCAAGCGUUAAUCGGAAUUACUGGGCGUAAAGCGUGCGCAGGCGGUUAUGCAAGACAGAGGUGAAAUCCCCGGGCUCAACCUGGGAACUGCCUUUGUGACUGCAUAGCUAGAGUACGGUAGAGGGGGAUGGAAUUCCGCGUGUAGCAGUGAAAUGCGUAGAUAUGCGGAGGAACACCGAUGGCGAAGGCAAUCCCCUGGACCUGUACUGACGCUCAUGCACGAAAGCGUGGGGAGCAAACAGGAUUAGAUACCCUGGUAGUCCACGCCCUAAACGAUGUCAACUGGUUGUUGGGAGGGUUUCUUCUCAGUAACGAAGCUAACGCGUGAAGUUGACCGCCUGGGGAGUACGGCCGCAGGUUGAAACUCAAAGGAUUGACGGCUGNGAGNGCGACGACGACGACGAGGGAGAGG